rnacentral:rRNA from 1 species
AGUGAACGCUGGCGGUAGGCCUAACACAUGCCAGUCGAACGGCAGCACAGUAAGAGCUUGCUCUUACGGGUGGCGAGUGGCGGACGGGUGAGGAAUACAUCGGAAUCUACUUUUUCGUGGGGGAUAACGUAGGGAAACUUACGCUAAUACCGCAUACGACCUACGGGUGAAAGCAGGGGACCUUCGGACCUUGCGCGAUUGAAUGAGCCGAUGUCGGAUUAGCUAGUUGGCGGGGUAAAGGCCCACCAAGGCGACGAUCCGUAGCUGGUCUGAGAGGAUGAUCAGCCACACUGGAACUGAGACACGGUCCAGACUCCUACGGGAGGCAGCAGUGGGGAAUAUUGGACAAUGGGCGCAAGCCUGAUCCAGCCAUACCGCGUGGGUGAAGAAGGCCUUCGGGUUGUAAAGCCCUUUUGUUGGGAAAGAAAAGCAGCAGGUUAAUACCCCGCUGUUCUGACGGUACCCAAAGAAUAAGCACCGGCUAACUUCGUG